rnacentral:rRNA from 1 species
UGCGUAGGCGGCGCGGUAAGUCGGGUGUGAAAUCUCGGAGCUUAACUCCGAAACUGCAUUCGAUACUGCCGUGCUUGAGGACUGGAGAGGAGACUGGAAUUUACGGUGUAGCGGUGAAAUGCGUAGAUAUCGUAAGGAAGACCAGUGGCGAAGGCGGGUCUCUGGACAGUUCCUGACGCUGAGCACGAAGGGUCAGGGAAGGCAAACG